rnacentral:rRNA from 1 species
GGUUAGGCGUAGGCGGCCGUAUUAAGUCAGGGGUGAAAGACGGUAGCUUAACUAUCGCAGUGCCUUUGAUACUGAUGGGCUUGAAUGGACUAGAGGUAGGCGGAAUGUGACAAGUAGCGGUGAAAUGCAUAGAUAUGUCACAGAACACCAAUUGCGAAGGCAGCUUACUAUGGUUUAAUUGACGCUGAGGCACGAAAGCGUGGGGAUCAAACAGGAUUAGAUACCCUGGU